UACGUAGGGGGCAAGCGUUGUCCGGAUUUAUUGGGCGUAAAGAGCGUGUAGGCGGCCUGAAAGGUCAGCUGUGAAAAUUCGAGGCUCAACCUCGAGACGUCGGUUGAAACCAUCUGGCUAGAGUCCGGAAGAGGAGUGUGGAAUUCCCGGUGUAGCGGUGAAAUGCGCAGAUAUCGGGAAGAACACCCGUGGCGAAAGCGGCUCACUGGACCACAACUGACGCUGAUGCACGAAAGCUAGGGGAGCAAACAGG
rnacentral:rRNA from 1 species